GAUGAACGCUGGCGGCGUGCCCAAUACAUGCAAGUCGAGCGAACAGACGAGGAGCUUGCUCCCCUGACGUUAGCGGCGGACGGGUGAGUAACACGUGGAUAACCUACCUAUAAGACUGGGAUAACUUCGGGAAACCGGAGCUAAUACCGGAUAAUAUAUUGAACCGCAUGGUUCAAUAGUGAAAGACGGUUUUGCUGUCACUUAUAGAUGGAUCCGCGCCGCAUUAGCUAGUUGGUAAGGUAACGGCUUACCAAGGCAACGAUGCGUAGCCGACCUGAGAGGGUGAUCGGCCACACUGGAACUGAGACACGGUCCAGACUCCUACGGGAGGCAGCAGUAGGGAAUCUUCCGCAAUGGGCGAAAGCCUGACGGAGCAACGCCGCGUGAGUGAUGAAGGUCUUCGGAUCGUAAAACUCUGUUAUUAGGGAAGAACAAAUGUGUAAGUAACUAUGCACGUCUUGACGGUACCUAAUCAGAAAGCCACGGCUAACUACGUG
rnacentral:rRNA from 1 species